GGACGGUAGGGCCAUGACAACGCAACCGAUAGCUGCCACGUACGACAGGAUCUGCGCCCGGCUGGCUGAUUUGCUCGACAAAACUCGUUGAAACCAAUGACGUCAAAGUGACAAGGAAUGGAAAGUUGUUAAAAGGAGUCAAACCACACGGCUCACGCUCACUCACCUGCCAUGGAAUGCCGCCGAAAACGAGGAGCAUUCCGUAGUCGAAAUACUGGCCGUAGUACUGCGGCUCGAGGGUGCCGACCCAGUCGACCUCGGACGGGGCGAUGGAACUCACCGCCGAGUUGGUCAUGGCGAAAGGAAUGCUGACCCACUAAUGAAACAAAUGUUAACCACCACCAGUCACAAGAUUCAAAAAGGAAUGAAAGUUGUUUAAAAAAGAUCGAAUCCAGAAAUUAAAUUCAAAUUUCCCGCUCUUCGCCGUUACCAGUCCGAAAAAGAUGAAGAAGAGCUGGAUGACAUCGGUGUAGGCCACCGAGUAGAGUCCGCCAAAGAGCGUGUAGAAAAUGGCGAUGCAAGCCGACAGGAUGACGCUGAUGUUGACGUCAAUGUCGACGAUGACGCUGAUGGUCGCUCCUGCCCAACCCCACCCGAAAUAAAGGAGAGUCCAGCCGAGGUACGAUGGGGAGCAGACACGCGCUCGAGGCUCCCUGAAUCUAUAGUAUGUACAUGUCUACGUCACGGAAUAUCAAGCCACAAAGUGAAUCGAUUGAAACGCGUGAUAUGGUGGAAGCGGUGGCGGC